AAAUUGAAGAGUUUGAUCAUGGCUCAGAUUGAACGCUGGCGGCAGGCCUAACACAUGCAAGUCGAACGGUAACAGGAAGCAGCUUGCUGCUUCGCUGACGAGUGGCGGACGGGUGAGUAAUGUCUGGGAAACUGCCUGAUGGAGGGGGAUAACUACUGGAAACGGUAGCUAAUACCGCAUAACGUCGCAAGACCAAAGAGGGGGACCUUCGGGCCUCUUGCCAUCGGAUGUGCCCAGAUGGGAUUAGCUAGUAGGUGGGGUAACGGCUCACCUAGGCGACGAUCCCUAGCUGGUCUGAGAGGAUGACCAGCCACACUGGAACUGAGACACGGUCCAGACUCCUACGGGAGGCAGCAGUGGGGAAUAUUGCACAAUGGGCGCAAGCCUGAUGCAGCCAUGCCGCGUGUAUGAAGAAGGCCUUCGGGUUGUAAAGUACUUUCAGCGGGGAGGAAGGGAGUAAAGUUAAUACCUUUGCUCAUUGACGUUACCCGCAGAAGAAGCACCGGCUAACUCCGUGCCAGCAGCCGCGGUAAUACGGAGGGUGCAAGCGUUAAUCGGAAUUACUGGGCGUAAAGCGCACGCAGGCGGUUUGUUAAGUCAGAUGUGAAAUCCCCGGGCUCAACCUGGGAACUGCAUCUGAUACUGGCAAGCUUGAGUCUCGUAGAGGGGGGUAGAAUUCCAGGUGUAGCGGUGAAAUGCGUAGAGAUCUGGAGGAAUACCGGUGGCGAAGGCGGCCCCCUGGACGAAGACUGACGCUCAGGUGCGAAAGCGUGGGGAGCAAACAGGAUUAGAUACCACGGGUAGUCCACGCCGUAAACGAUGUCGACUUGGAGGUUGUGCCCUUGAGGCGUGGCUUCCGGAGCUAACGCGUUAAGUCGACCGCCUGGGGAGUACGGCCGCAAGGUUAAAACUCAAAUGAAUUGACGGGGGCCCGCACAAGCGGUGGAGCAUGUGGUUUAAUUCGAUGCAACGCGAAGAACCUUACCUGGUCUUGACAUCCACGGAAGUUUUCAGAGAUGAGAAUGUGCCUUCGGGAACCGUGAGACAGGUGCUGCAUGGCUGUCGUCAGCUCGUGUUGUGAAAUGUUGGGUUAAGUCCCGCAACGAGCGCAACCCUUAUCCUUUGUUGCCAGCGGUCCGGCCGGGAACUCAAAGGAGACUGCCAGUGAUAAACUGGAGGAAGGUGGGGAUGACGUCAAGUCAUCAUGGCCCUUACGACCAGGGCUACACACGUGCUACAAUGGCGCAUACAAAGAGAAGCGACCUCGCGAGAGCAAGCGGACCUCAUAAAGUGCGUCGUAGUCCGGAUUGGAGUCUGCAACUCGACUCCAUGAAGUCGGAAUCGCUAGUAAUCGUGGAUCAGAAUGCCACGGUGAAUACGUUCCCGGGCCUUGUACACACCGCCCGUCACACCAUGGGAGUGGGUUGCAAAAGAAGUAGGUAGCUUAACCUUCGGGAGGGCGCUUACCACUUUGUGAUUCAUGACUGGGGUGAAGUCGUAACAAGGUAACCGUAGGGGAACCUGCGGUUGGAUCACCUCCUUACCUUAAAGAAGC
rnacentral:rRNA from 1 species